UUUCAAUCUAAUUAAUUGUAGUAGUACUACAAUUAUCUAAUUAGUUGUACUAGUAUCUGAGAUUUUUUUACCAGAUUUGUUUACUAACAGGGUUUGUACAAAUUCAAUCUGGAUAAAAGUAGAUUGAAUUCUAAUAGAUUGAACUCCUUCUAUAUUUACUGCAGGAGCCCUCACUUUUUGCCGUAGCAAAACUGUUGGCAACUGGUCUUGUAAAUCUAAACAGGGUAGAAGUUCUUUGGUUUCCUGUAACAAAUCACCUGCUGGAAGUCAUCAUCCACCCGCUUAACCACAUGAGAGAAUGGGGAAUAGAGGCCAUUACUACGUUAGUUAGAUAAGCAAUUCAAUAUGAAUAUUCUACCCCUUUAAAAGAAAACCAGACGUUGUUAAUAUCGCCAUUAAAUGAGCUGUCUAAUACGAGUUUUGCAGACGUGCGGCAAAAGCAAGUUGAUUGUGUGCAACACCAAACUACUAUAUCAGCUGAUUCUUCAAUUAUUUCUUGAUAAAAUCUGUCUUGCAAAUUUCUAUAACCAGCAAAAUAUAUAAUUUUACAAUUA